CUGUGUGUGGCCUGGUCCUAGGUACUUCAGGAAGUCUCCCUGAGCCCUGUCUAAUCCUAUCACAUAGGGCUGGGUGGUCUUUGCAGACAGCUAUUUCCCGGAACACGAAGAGGGGGGGGGAUUUCUUGCCCUUGACUGUUUUCCAGGUGCCCAGGCUCAGCUGAAGUUCCACUCUGUUAGCUCCUGGGAGUGUCGUCACCAGGAAGUCUCAGGACUGGAGAAUGAUGGCUGUAGCUGCAUCCCUGAGCUGGCUUCAUCCUCCACAACGUGGUGCCCCUAAGGAACUAGAGGAGAGGAAAAGUCACAGAAUGAGACACAUAGACAAGGAGGCCUUGUGAAGACAGACAGAUGCAGACAGACAGAGGUUAUGCUGCCACAAGCCAAGGAACACUUGCAGCCACCAGAAGCUGGAGGAGGACAGAAACAUUUUUUCCUGGAGACUUAAGAGACAGUAAAGCCCUGAUGUCACCUUGAUUUCAAAUUUCUAGCGUCCAGAG